rnacentral:rRNA from 1 species
CUUGACAUCCAGAGAAUUUAGCAGAGAUGCUUUAGUGCCUUCGGGAACUCUGAGACAGGUGCUGCAUGGCUGUCGUCAGCUCGUGUUGUGAAAUGUUGGGUUAACGUCCGCAACGAGCGCAACCCUUAUCCUUUGUUGCCAGCACGUAAUGGUGGGAACUCAAAGGAGACUGCCGGUGAUAAACCGGAGGAAGGUGGGGAUGACGUCAAGUCAUCAUGGCCCUUACGAGUAGGGCUACACACGUGCUACAAUGGCGUAUACAAAGAGAAGCGACCUCGCGAGAGCAAGCGGACCUCAUAAAGUGCGUCGUAGUCCGGAUUGGAGUCUGCAACUCGACUCCAUGAAGUCGGAAUCGCUAGUAAUCGUAAAUCAGAAUGUUACGGUGAAUACGUUCCCGGGCCUUGUACACACCGCCCGUCACACCAUGGGAGUGGGUUGCAAAAGAAGUAGAUAGCUUAACCUUCGGGAGGGUGUUUACCACUUUGUGAUUCAUGACUGGGGUGAAGUCGUAACAAGGUAAGCGUAGUGCU